GCAUGCGUGCCAUUAGCUGGUUGCGGGGUGACGGCCCACCAAGGCUACGAUGGCUAGGGGAUCUGAGAGGACGGUCCCCACACUGGUACUGAGACACGGACCAGACUCCUACGGGAGGCAGCAGUAAGGAAUAUUGGGCAAUGGGGGAACCCUGACCCAGCCAUGCCGCGUGAGGGAAGAAGGCCCUACGGGUUGUAAACCUCUUUUGCCGGGGGGAUAAAGCGGGGCGUGCGCGCCGCGUUGCAGUUACCCGGUGAAUAAGCAUCGGUCUAACUCCGUGCC
rnacentral:rRNA from 1 species